UAAGAUACAACUAACACAAAUUAACAUACAAUAAAAUAAAUCUACUGAGUCCAACGUGGAUAUUUUCCUUUUCCAUCACCAGCUUCUUCUGCUGCCUUGGCGACACGAGCCCUUUCUCUCUUUCUCUCCCUCUCAGCUUCACGGGCCUGUUCCCGCUGUCUCUAAACCUCCUCCAGCCGAAGUUUCUCUUCUUGAUUUUUCCUUUUCAUCUCAUCAAGAAAAGCCCUCUGCUCCACACAGUAAUCUUCCCACUCUUUCUUCUGCUCUGCUUUCUCCUCUGCUUCAGCC
rnacentral:lncRNA from 1 species